rnacentral:rRNA from 1 species
AUUGAACGCUGGCGGCAUGCCUUACACAUGCAAGUCGAACGGCAGCGGGGGAGAAGCUUGCUUUUCCUGCCGGCGAGUGGCGAACGGGUGAGUAAUAGAUCGGAACGUGCCCUGUAGUGGGGGAUAACUAGUCGAAAGAUUAGCUAAUACCGCAUACGACCUGAGGGUGAAAGUGGGGGACCGCAAGGCCUCAUGCUAUAGGAGCGGCCGAUGUCUGAUUAGCUAGUUGGUGGGGUAAAGGCCUACCAAGGCGACGAUCAGUAGCUGGUCUGGGAGGACGAUCGGCCACACUGGGACUGAGACACGGCCCAGACUCCUACGGGAGGCAGCAGUGGGGAAUUUUGGACAAUGGGCGAAAGCCUGAUCCAGCAAUGCCGCGUGUGUGAAGAAGGCCUUCGGGUUGUAAAGCACUUUUGUCCGGAAAGAAAUGGCUCUGGUUAAUACCUGGGGUCGAUGACGGUACCGGAAGAAUAAGGACCGGCUAACUACGUGCCAGCCGCCGCGGUAAUAC